UGGAGGGGACAAAGGAAAAGUAAAUCUUAGUUAUUGAUGUUUGUCAAGAAUAUUCACGUUUGUAUCAAGAUAUCAGGCAAGGGGGAGUGGCGAAAAGUCCUUGUCAAGAGGAAGCCAACCAAAUCCAUGGAUAAGGAGCUAAAGACUUGUCCAGAGCUAGAUAGACAAAUGGAUAGUUUACCAGAGACGAAGUAGAUUUGUGAAGUUUAGUUGCCUUGACAAGUUGAGAAGUGCCUAGUGUUGUCGCAGCAUGGGAGCUCUCUAUAUUGG